UAUCAGCCUUAGCGAUGUGCUCCAGCGCCUCGUUAAUUUUCUGCGCCGCCAUCGCGUAGGGGCUGGGCAGGGGCCGCAGCCGCUGCGCCACCUACGUCAAGGAAGGAUGGGGAAACUGAGGCAUAAUACCCAAGGCAACACAGAAAAAUCACUAAGAGAACCAAGACCAUAACCACCCUGAUGUUUGCAGGGGUGCUGGAAGGAGCAGAUGCUAGACACUCACUUGGGGUUCACCACAGUCCCUGUCCCUGGAUUCAAGAACAGAGAGAUGGAUCAGAACCUGGAUUUCUGGAAAGCAAAUGUCUAAUCCUUCACACACACCGCCUCCUCAUGCCCACUCUCCUGCUGUCACCAGACCCACAGUUGCCAAAACCAUGUUUUGUUCAAUGGCCCAUAGUAUUUAAAAGUCUUGCAACAUGCAGAUGAUGUAACUGUAAAGCUCACUUAAGACAUCAAUAAAAAAAACAAUCAAUA